rnacentral:rRNA from 1 species
CGCGUAGGCGGCCUUCUAAGUCGAACGUGAAAUCCCCGGGCUCAACCCGGGAACUGCGUCCGAUACUGGAAGGCUUGAAUCCGGGAGAGGGAUGUGGAAUUCCAGGUGUAGCGGUGAAAUGCGUAGAUAUCUGGAGGAACACCGGUGGCGAAGGCGACAUCCUGGACCGGUAUUGACGCUGAGGCGCGAAAGCCAGGGGAAGCAAACG